UAACUCCGGGAAACCGGGGCUAAUACCGGAUAUGAAACCUGCGGGCAUCCGCGGGUUUGGAAAGUUUUUCGGUUGAAGAUGAUCUCGCGGCCUAUCAGCUUGUUGGUGAGGUAAUGGCUCACCAAGGCGACGACGGGUAGCCGGCCUGAGAGGGCGACCGGCCACACUGGGACUGAAACACGGCCCAGACUCCUACGGGAGGCAGCAGUGGGGAAUAUUGGGCAAUGGAGGAAACUCUGACCCAGCGACGCCGCGUGCGGGAUGAAGGCCUUCGGGUUGUAAACCGCUUUCAGCAGGGAAGAAGCGAAAGUGACGGUACCUGCAGAAGAAGCACCGGCUAACUAUGUG
rnacentral:rRNA from 1 species